UACGGAGGGAUCCAAGCGUUAUCCGGAAUCAUUGGGUUUAAAGGGUCCGGUAGGCGGUUUAAUAAGUCAGUGGUGAAAGCCCAUCGCGUCAACGGUGGAACGGCCAUUGAUACUGUUAGACUUGAAUUAUUAGGAAGUAACUAGAAUAUGGUAGUGUAGCGGUGAAAUGACUUAGAGAUUACAUGGAAAUACCAAUUGCGGAAGGACAGGUUACUACUACUGGAUUGACGCUGAUGGACGGAAAGCGUGGGUAGCGAACAGG
rnacentral:rRNA from 1 species